GACGAACGCUGGCGGCGUGCCUAAUACAUGCAAGUCGAGCGCUGAAGGUUGGUACUUGUACCAACUGGAUGAGCAGCGAACGGGCGAGUAACGCGUGGGGAAUCUGCCUUUGAGCGGGGGAUAACCUUUGGAAACGACUUCUAAUACCGCAUAAAACCUUUAAACACAAGUUUUAAGUUUGAAAGAUGCAAUUGCAUCACUCAAAGAUGAUCCCGCGUUGUAUUAGCGAGUUGGUGAGGUAAAGGCUCACCAAGGCGAGGAUACAUAGCGCACCUGAGAGGGGGAGCGGCGCCAGUGGGACUGAGAGACGGCCCAAACUCCUACGGGAGGCAGCCGUAGGGAAUUUUGGGCGAUAGAAGAGAGUAUGAUAGAGCAACGCCGGGAGGGUGAAGAAGGUUUUUCGGAUCGUAAAACUCUGUUGUUAGGGAAGAAAGCUGGUGAGAGUGGAAAGCUCAUGAAGUGACGGUAACUAGCAAGAAAGGGACGGCUAACUACGUG
rnacentral:rRNA from 1 species